rnacentral:rRNA from 1 species
UACAGAGGUCCCAAGCGUUGUUCGGAUUCAUUGGGCGUAAAGGGCGCGUAGGUGGUUCUGUAUGUCUACCGUGAAAGCAUACGGCUCAACUGUAUUUUUGUCGGUAGAAAACUGCAGGACUUGAGGCUGGGAGGGGCUGGUGGAAAUUCCCUGUGUAGCGGUGAAAUGCGUAGAGAUGGGGGAGAACGACUCUGGCGGAA